GACGGAGGGAGCUAGCGUUGUUCGGAAUUACUGGGCGUAAAGGGCGUGUAGGUGGCUAUUUAAGUCAGGUGUGAAAUGCCGGAGCUUAACUUCGGAACUGCCUUUGAUACUGGAUGGCUAGAGGUAGAGAGGGGAGAGUGGAAUUGCUAGUGUAGAGGUGAAAUUCGUAGAUAUAAGCAGGAACACCAGUGGCGAAGGCGACUCUCUGGACAUAUACUGACACUCAGAAGCGAAAGCGUGGGGAGCAAACAGG
rnacentral:rRNA from 1 species